rnacentral:rRNA from 1 species
UACGUAGGGUGCAAGCGUUGUCCGGAUUUAUUGGGCGUAAAGAGCUCGUAGGCGGUCUGUCGCGUCGGAUGUGAAAACCCAGGGCUCAACCCUGGGCCUGCAUUCGAUACGGGCAGACUAGAGUUCGGUAGGGGAGACUGGAAUUCCUGGUGUAGCGGUGAAAUGCGCAGAUAUCAGGAGGAACACCGGUGGCGAAGGCGGGUCUCUGGGCCGAAACUGACGCUGAGGAGCGAAAGCGUGGGGAGCAAACAGG